CCUCUCAAGCGUCUCAUUGCCCUUCUUUGUGACGAUGAUUUAUCGAGUAUCAGAAUAAUACAUGUGAAUCUUCCCGCGGAAAAAGGCAACAGGAAGAGUAAAAGUCUUCAAAGACGCUGAAGAAAUCGAUUGGAAGCCACUCAAGAAUUCUAAGGAUAAAUGGAAGAUUUCUCAGAUGUGUUGUUUUAGAAAUUUAUGGAAAAAGUGUGGACAGGUUUUUUUAACGGAGAUGAAAACAUUUUGUUGUUGUUUUUUGUUUUUUUUUUUAUUGUUGUCGUUGUUUGAACUUUCAGCGUGACAGAAGUUUGAUUUUUUGUGAUGUAGAGAACGGUUGUACUCAAAUUUAUCGAAAUAUUAUGAUGGAUUUGAGUCUGUGUAUAAUAAAUCUUGAAAAAUUCAGUUUUAAUUACCUUAAGAUGCUUUGGUAUGUUUUCGAUAUUUGUUUCAAUUGUUGAAGGAAAGCAACCUCAAGGAUUACAACUUUAACAUUUUUGUAGUGAAGUAUCGUGUCCUCGAGAUUGAAUAAAACGGCAACCAUAAGGCCAAGAGGUACCAUAGUGUUUUUAACUUAAGAGCAAAUUUUUGAGGAAUAGAGCCUUAUUUAGGCGCUUUGGCGCUCUAUUGUAAAAUGUAUAAUUUUAAAUGCUUUGGUGAUAUGGGCUCAUUUUAAGAAUUAUCAUGUAGCUAUGCAGUACUUCAUAUUUUUGAGGAGCGAAACUCAGUUUUGCUUUAAAAUAUUCAGACGUUUAUGUAUAGAAUUGAAUAAGGUCCUUAAAACUUUGAAAUAUUUUGAUCUAACGAAACUGAUGAUACUUUUCAGUGUUAUGAAAAGAGAUAAAGAGAUAAAGGUAGAAUAUGAAUUCCAAAUUUCAAGAGAGAAUUUCAGUUUUUGAAAUUAAAAUCUUAUUGUGUGUAUACUUCUUCAGUUUCUAACCACAUUCCAGGUUUCUCUAUGGCUCCUUUUACUGCUGCAAGAACACAAACGAUUUCAAUUUAAUAAGUGCAUAUACAUGUAUGUUGAAAGCUUGUUUUUAUAAUAAAACGGCAUAUGCUUUAUUAGUUUGGUUAUCUUAGGUUUCAUUUCAGUCGAACGCAUGUGCAAAACGCUUUUGCUCUCACAUUCGGCCGAGGGAUGAAUAUAUGCUUUCACUGGUUGGCUGUACGUCGUAGAAGCUUUUAUCUAACAAAAUUGCAGCAAAUUUAUGAUGAAACUAUAUGCUAUGAUGUGGCGUACGAGUAAUUUGUCGAUAGACUUCUUAAUUUUUUCAGGAAUAAAAAUUACAGCUUCUCCUUGAUU